CCUGGUUUGAUCUGCCAGUAGUCAUAAUGCUUGUUCAAAAGAUUAAGCAUGGCAUAGUGUAGUUGAUACUAAUUCGACUGUGAAACUGGAAUGGCUUCAUUAUCGUUUUAUCAGUUUGUUUGAUGGUAUUGCUAUCGAUAAUCGUAGUAAUUCUAAGAGCUAAUAGUGCAACAACCGACUUCUGGAAUGGGAUGGCUUUAUUAGAUAAAGAGGUCGACGCGGGGCUCUGCCGGUUGCUUGAUGAUUAUGAUAAAUCGACGGAUCGCAAGGCAUCGUGGCCGGGACGCAUCAUUAUCAAAUUCUGCCUAUCAACUUUCGAUGGUAGGAUAGAGGCCUACUAUGGUGGUGGGAGGUGACGGAGAUUAGGGUUCGAUUCGGAGAGGGAGCCUGAGAAACGGCUACCACAUCAAGGAAGGCAAGCAGGCGCGCAAAUUACCCAAUCCUGAACGGGAGGUAGUGACAAUUAACAAUACCGGGCUCUUAUGAGUCUGGUAAUUGGAAUAGAGUACAAUCUAAAUCCCUUAACGAGGAUCCAUUGGAGGGAAGUCUGGUGCCAGCAGCCGCGGUAAUUCCAGCUCCAAUAGCGUAUAUUUUAAGUUGUUGCAGUAAAAAGCUCGUAGUUGGAUCUUGGGUUGGGGGAUCGGUCCGCCCUGGUGUGCACCGGUCGUCGUCCUUCUGCGGCGAUGCGCUCCUGGCCUUAACUGGCCGGGUCGUGCUCGGCGCUGUUACUUUUGAAGAAAUUAGAGUGCUCAAAGCAAGCCUUACGCUCUGGAUACAUUAGCAUGGGAUACAUCAUAGGAUUUCGGUCCUUUGUGUUGGCCUUCGGGAUGGAGUAAUGAUUAACAGGAACAGUCGGGGGCAUUCGUAUUUCAUAGUCAGAGGUGAAAUUCUUGGAUUUAUGAAGACGAACAACUGCGGAAAGCAUUUGCCAAGGAUGUUUUCAUUAAUCAAGAACGAAAGUUGGGGGGCUCGAAGACGAUCAGAUACGUCCUAGUCUCAACAUAAACGAUGCCGACCAGGGAUGCGGCGGAUGUUGCUUUCAGGACUCGCCGGCACCUUAUGAGAAAUCAAAGUCUUUGGGUUCCGGGGGGAGUAUGGUCGCAGGCUGAAACUUAAAGGAAUUGACGGAAGGGCACACAGGAGUGGAGCCUGCGGCUUAAUUUGACUCAACACGGGGAAACUUACCAGGUCCAGACAUAGUAAGGAUUGACAGACUGAGAGCUCUUUUUGAUUCUAUGGGUGGUGGUGCAUGGCCGUUCUUAGUUGGUGGAGGAUUUGUCUGGUUAAUUCCGUUAAGAACGAGACUGCUGUUACUAGCUAUGCGGAGGUGACCCUCCGCGGCCAGCUUCUUAGAGGGACCACGGCGUUCAGGCCGCGGAAGUUUUGAGGCAAUAACAGGUCUGUGAUGCGCUUAGAUGUUUGGGCCGCAGCGCGCUACACUGAUGUAUUCAACGAGUCUAUAGCUUGGCCGACAGGCCGGGUAAUCUUUGAAAUUUCAUCGUGAUGGGGAUAAGAUCAUUGCAAUUGUUGGUUUCUUCAACGAGGAAUUCCUAGUAAGCCGAGUCAUCAGCUCGCGUUGACUACGUCCUGCUUUUGUACACACGCCCGUCGCUCCUACGAUUGAAUGGUCCGGUGAAGUGUUCGGAUCGCGGCGACGUGGGCGGUUUGCUGCGGCGACGUCGCGAGAAGUCCAUGAACUUAUCAUUUAGAGGAAGGAGAAGUCGUAACAAGGUUUCGUAGGUGAACCUGCGGAAG
rnacentral:rRNA from 1 species